rnacentral:tRNA from 1 species
CAGUAAAUAGUUUAAAAAAAAUAUUAAUUUUGGAGAUUAAUGAUAGGUAUAUGCUUUUUACUGA